rnacentral:lncRNA from 1 species
GGAACACCUCUCCUGGAGAAGGAGACCAGGGGGGAAAGGAAGCGGGGGUAUCUGCAUUCUGGCUCUCUCUCUCUCUCAUGGAGUCAGAGGAAGACGUCCAGUGCUUCUACCUCCCACCUCCCGCCAUCCCAACGCCGGGAGCCACAUUCUCUGCCCUAAGACACUGCACUGCUGCCUUCCCCGCUUCAGCCUGCUACCUCCGAGCACGCAGCCAGGCGCCGCCACCCAUACAAAGGAAAACCAAUAGGGAGAUUAAUUUAGCAGCCAGAAGUGACAGAGCAGUCAGUAGCAACAAUCAGCCAUUGACUUCUCAACUUCUUCAGGGACUUUGCUGCUCAGUCAGCUUCAGACUUGUCAGGCUGCAUUUUCAUCCUGUGAGCGCACUGACAGGAGGAAGGCUUGUCCUGGCAUCAUCUCUCCUGCUGGCCAGUAGGGCUGGUUCUAAGGCUGCAAAGGGUCUGGGUACGGCCAUACCACUUCCCAGCACCAAACCAUGUGGCCUCAAAUGCCUUGCAGCUGAUGCCAGUGGAUUUUGAAAUAAAACUCAUGGAAAGGGUGGAUGGCAGUUGAUCCCACACCCUUCGGGAUGCUGGGCAGAGCAGGCCUGAAGAUAAAUGAAGAAGCAAUCCACAGAUCACCAUCUCCUUUCAUCUUACCAAGACAAUUCCUGUGUAAGCAUACCAACAUCCCAGACUUCCGUGCAGGCUUUAUCCACACGAACACACAUACAUACGUGUUCUUUCAGCUGAGUCUGGACUUGCCGUGCUUGCCUGUACUUGUGUGUCUUCCUCAUGC